rnacentral:rRNA from 1 species
CAACAUGAGAGUUUGAUCCUGGCUCAGAAUAAACGCUGGCGGCGUGCCUAACACAUGCAAGUCGAACGGAUCAAGGAGCUUGCUCCU